AUGCUUCUUAGAAACCUUAGCCAGGCAAAUGGUUUGUGUAAUGGUACCCGGCUGAUCGUAAAAGAAUUGGGCGACCGGCUUAUCAAGGUUGUUAUUAUGACUGGCUCCAAUGUGGGUGAUACCGUUUAUAUCCCCAGGAUUGAGUUAUUGGCGAAGAAAGGAAACGCACCCUUUGUGCUUAGGCGACGCCAGUUUCCUGUUCGUUUGUGCUAUGCCAUGACAAUCAAUAAGAGCCAGGGACAGACCCUGUCUGCUAUUGGCAUAUAUCUUAAGGGUCCUCUUUUUACGCACGGGCAGCUGUAUGUGGCAGUGUCUCGUGUUACUUCAAGAGCUUCUUUGAAAAUCCUUAUAUUAGAUGCUAAUGGCAACUGUGGUUCUGAGACCAAAAACAUUGUUUUUCCUGAGGUCUUUCGGGCCGCAGGGAUGGCCUAG
rnacentral:rRNA from 1 species